CGUGGUGAAACCCAGUCUCUACUAAAAACACAAAAAUUAGCCGGGUGUGGUGGCACGCGCCUGUAGUCCCAGCUACUCGGGAGGCUGAGGCAGGAGAAUCGCUUGAACCCAGGAGGUGGAGGUUGCAGUGAGCCGAGAUCGUGCCACUGCACUUCAACUUGGGAGACAGAGCGAGACUGUCUCUGAAAAAUAAAUAAAUAAAUAAAAAGGAAAAUGGUAGUGUUGUGCUGGGAUUACAGGUGAGAGCCACAGCGCCCGCCAGGAAAUUCAGGCUUUAAAUUGAGAUCCUCAGGAUAAGAAGAAGUUGGCCUGGUGGACAUAGUAAGGGAGAGUAUUCCAGACAAAAGAGAAGGUGCAGGUGUACAGGUUUUCAGGCUGGAAGGAGCAUUUAAUGAACUGAAUGAAGGCAGCAGUGGGGUGAAUGAUGGAGACAUUGGCACUGGCUGAGGUACAGAGGCAGGCAAGGGACAGAUUGUGCAGGUCCUUGGAGAUCUUCAGAUUUAGACAUUUUCUUGAAGCAAAUGACCAUUUCAUCUCCUAUGACAUUCAAAUCUAUCCAAAUCAGGCCGGGCGAGGUGGCUCACACCUGUAAUCCCAGCACUUUGGGAGGCCGAGGCUGGCAGAUCACCUGAGGUCAGGAGUUCGAGACCAGCCGGACCAACAUGCAGAAACCCGGUCUCUACUAAAAAUACAAAAUUAGCCGGGCAUGGUAGCGCAUGUCUGUAAUCCCAGCUACUCCAGAGGCUGAGGCUGGAGAAUCACUCGAACUCGGAAGGCAGAGGUUGCGGUGAGGCGAUAUCGCACGCCAUUGCACUCCAACCUGGGCAACAAGACGAAACUGUCUC
rnacentral:lncRNA from 1 species